GGGUUGUGAGGUUAAGCGACUAAGCGUACACGGUGGAUGCCCUGGCAGUCAGAGGCGAUGAAGGACGUGCUAAUCUGCGAAAAGCGUCGGUAAGGUGAUAUGAACCGUUAUAACCGGCGAUGUCCGAAUGGGGAAACCCAGUGCAAUUCGUUGCACUAUCGUUAACUGAAUACAUAGGUUAACGAGGCGAACCGGGGGAACUGAAACAUCUAAGUACCCCGAGGAAAAGAAAUCAACCGAGAUUCCCCCAGUAGCGGCGAGCGAACGGGGAGCAGCCCAGAGUCUGAAUCAGCUUGUGUGUUAGUGGAACGGUCUGGAAAGUCCGACGGUACAGGGUGAUAGUCCCGUACACCAAAAUGCACAGGUUGUGAACUCGAAGAGUAGGGCGGGACACGUGGUAUCCUGUCUGAAUAUGGGGGGACCAUCCUCCAAGGCUAAAUACUCCUGACUGACCGAUAGUGAACCAGUACCGUGAGGGAAAGGCGAAAAGAACCCCGGCGAGGGGAGUGAAAAAGAACCUGAAACCGUGUACGUACAAGCAGUGGGAGCACCUUCGGGUGUGACUGCGUACCUUUUGUAUAAUGGGUCAGCGACUUAUAUUCUGUAGCAAGGUUAACCGUAUAGGGGAGCCGCAGGGAAACCGAGUCUUAACUGGGCGUUAAGUUGCAGGGUAUAGACCCGAAACCCGGUGAUCUAGCCAUGGGCAGGUUGAAGGUUGGGUAACACUAACUGGAGGACCGAACCGACUAAUGUUGAAAAAUUAGCGGAUGACUUGUGGCUGGGGGUGAAAGGCCAAUCAAACCGGGAGAUAGCUGGUUCUCCCCGAAAGCUAUUUAGGUAGCGCCUCGUGAAUUCAUCUUCGGGGGUAGAGCACUGUUUCGGCUAGGGGGUCAUCCCGACUUACCAACCCGAUGCAAACUACGAAUACCGAAGAAUGUUAUCACGGGAGACACACGGCGGGUGCUAACGUCCGUCGUGAAGAGGGAAACAACCCAGACCGCCAGCUAAGGUCCCAAAGUCAUGGUUAAGUGGGAAACGAUGUGGGAAGGCACAGACAGCCAGGAUGUUGGCUUAGAAGCAGCCAUCAUUUAAAGAAAGCGUAAUAGCUCACUGGUCGAGUCGGCCUGCGCGGAAGAUGUAACGGGGCUAAACCAUGCACCGAAGCUGCGGCAGCGACACUAUGUGUUGUUGGGUAGGGGAGCGUUCUGUAAGCCUGCGAAGGUGACCUGUGAGGGUUGCUGGAGGUAUCAGAAGUGCGAAUGCUGACAUAAGUAACGAUAAAGCGGGUGAAAAGCCCGCUCGCCGGAAGACCAAGGGUUCCUGUCCAACGUUAAUCGGGGCAGGGUGAGUCGACCCCUAAGGCGAGGCCGAAAGGCGUAGUCGAUGGGAAACAGGUUAAUAUUCCUGUACUUGGUGUUACUGCGAAGGGGGGACGGAGAAGGCUAUGUUAGCCGGGCGACGGUUGUCCCGGUUUAAGCAUGUAGGCUGGUUGUCCAGGCAAAUCCGGAUAAUCAAGGCUGAGGUGUGAUGACGAGGCACUACGGUGCUGAAGUAACAAAUGCCCUGCUUCCAGGAAAAGCCUCUAAGCAUCAGGUAACAUUAAAUCGUACCCCAAACCGACACAGGUGGUCAGGUAGAGAAUACCAAGGCGCUUGAGAGAACUCGGGUGAAGGAACUAGGCAAAAUGGUGCCGUAACUUCGGGAGAAGGCACGCUGGUGUGUAGGUGAAGUCCCUGCGGAUGGAGCUGAGACCAGUCGAAGAUACCAGCUGGCUGCAACUGUUUAUUAAAAACACAGCACUGUGCAAACACGAAAGUGGACGUAUACGGUGUGACGCCUGCCCGGUGCCGGAAGGUUAAUUGAUGGGGUUAUCCGUAAGGAGAAGCUCUUGAUCGAAGCCCCGGUAAACGGCGGCCGUAACUAUAACGGUCCUAAGGUAGCGAAAUUCCUUGUCGGGUAAGUUCCGACCUGCACGAAUGGCGUAAUGAUGGCCAGGCUGUCUCCACCCGAGACUCAGUGAAAUUGAACUCGCUGUGAAGAUGCAGUGUACCCGCGGCAAGACGGAAAGACCCCGUGAACCUUUACUAUAGCUUGACACUGAACAUUGAGCCUUGAUGUGUAGGAUAGGUGGGAGGCUUUGAAGCGUGGACGCCAGUCUGCGUGGAGCCAACCUUGAAAUACCACCCUUUAAUGUUUGAUGUUCUAACGUUGGCCCCUGACCGGGGUUGCGGACAGUGUCUGGUGGGUAGUUUGACUGGGGCGGUCUCCUCCCAAAGCGUAACGGAGGAGCACGAAGGUUAGCUAAUCCUGGUCGGACAUCAGGAGGUUAGUGCAAUGGCAUAAGCUAGCUUGACUGCGAGCGUGACGGCGCGAGCAGGUGCGAAAGCAGGUCAUAGUGAUCCGGUGGUUCUGAAUGGAAGGGCCAUCGCUCAACGGAUAAAAGGUACUCCGGGGAUAACAGGCUGAUACCGCCCAAGAGUUCAUAUCGACGGCGGUGUUUGGCACCUCGAUGUCGGCUCAUCACAUCCUGGGGCUGAAGUAGGUCCCAAGGGUAUGGCUGUUCGCCAUUUAAAGUGGUACGCGAGCUGGGUUUAGAACGUCGUGAGACAGUUCGGUCCCUAUCUGCCGUGGGCGCUGGAGAAUUGAGGGGGGCUGCUCCUAGUACGAGAGGACCGGAGUGGACGCAUCACUGGUGUUCGGGUUGUCAUGCCAAUGGCACUGCCCGGUAGCUAAAUGCGGAAGAGAUAAGUGCUGAAAGCAUCUAAGCACGAAACUUGCCCCGAGAUGAGUUCUCCCUGAGACUUUAAGUCUCCUGAAGGAACGUUAAAGACGAUGACGUUGAUAGGCCGGGUGUGUAAGCGCAGCGAUGCGUUGAGCUAACCGGUACUAAUGAACCGUGAGGCUUAACCUUACAACGCCGAAG
rnacentral:rRNA from 1 species